ACACUCUAAAAACGGCUGGGUUAUUUUUUAACCCAAAAUGCUGGGUUGAGUCUGUUGGGUCAUUUUGUUGGGUUAUUUAAUUUCUUUUUAAACACUUUUGGGUAGUUUCAAUUUACCAGGUGUUGGGUUAAACCUGCUGGGUUGCGUCGCUGGGUUGUUUCAGGCCAGCGCUGGGUUAUUUAACGCGCCUUGAAGAUGUUUAAAUCGCUCCCCAACUGUCAUUUUGGAAGAACAACGGGGCAAAGCCACGGCUUUCAACUGUUUUAAGAAAAGCGCAUGGAUACAUUUGUGAGAGAAAAACUGGUCGAGUGCAGUCUUAUUGAGGCGUCUAACGGCAAGUUCGUGUUUAUUAUACAUUUUACAUAAUUGUUUGUCUGUGAUAAUCAACUAACGUUAACCCUCACGUAACUUAAACGCACAUAUAUUUUUAUUUCGUGCUAUAGUUAAAGCUGCACCAGAAUGUACCUAAUUUAUGAGCGUAAACAUCAUAUAUUAAUUUUCCAGAUCGUGUUUUUGACUUGUCCUUAUCACUUUGGUACAUCUGUAAGUUUUUAUAUAUGGACUGUUUUACCUACGUGACUUGUCAUAGAAAUGUCUGUUUGCGCGCAUGCAGUGUGAUCUCCCUUAUCUGUGCCAGUGACUGUGUGUGUUUGAUAUAGCCAGCAUAUUAACAUAAAACUGUGAUUUAUAAUGACUGGAACAUCCCAUUGAUUAGACAGUUUGAAAGCACACCUUUCAGCCAAUCACUAUAUCAUAUUCUGCUUCUGUAAACCAACUCAUAGGUGAAUUUAACUCAUAAUCAUGAUGGGUCAAUUUCAUGAUUAACUUCACACAGUUAAUUGAACUGAAUCACUGUUAUUAAAACAAUUUGUAUUUUUUCUUUUUUUUCAACUUUAUUUUAAAGGUUGGAACAAACAUGGAAUUCCUUAACUGAGCAGAGUCCACAAAACCCAUGACAGCAGAUCUCUCAGGCAUUGAUCAUAAUCAAUGGACAGGUCACCGUAGCCACCAGAUCCAGUCGGUAUCCAGAUCAGAGGGUCACUGCAGUCACCCGGAUCCAGUACGUAUCCAGACCAGAUGGUGGUUCAGCACCUAGAAAGGACCUCUACAUCCCUGAAAGACAGCGGAGACCAGGACAACUAGAGCCCAGAUACAGAUCCCCUGUAAAGACCUUGUCUCAGAGGAGCACCAGGACAAGACCACAGGAAACAGAUGAUUCUUCUGCACAAUCUGACUUUGCUGCAGCCUGGAAUUGAACUACUGGUUUCGUCUGGUCAGAGGAGAACUGACCCCCAACUGAGCCUGGUUUCUCCCAAGGAUUUUUCUCCAUUCUGUCACCGAUGGAGUUUUGGUUCCUUGUUUUUCUUUAGUUGGGGACAAUUAAUAUCAAGCGAUAUCAUCCACUUGAUUGCACAGAGGGACGAUAAAUCACUGAAUCAAUGACGAAUUGACUUUAACUGAAAACUGAGUGUUUACUUUUGUCCCUUUGCAUUAUUACACACUAUUUUCUUAUUUAAUAUUGUAAAGCUGCUAUGAUGCAGUAUUUGAUCAAUAUGACAGGCUUAUUACUCAUAAUACAUGGAAAAUACAGCUACAAACUGACUUUGUUUUUCCAUUUGAAAUUUGGCAGUCACUAAACUGAAACCGUAAUUUUUGUUCAGUGUUUUUGAAACAGUGUUUUGUUCAAGAUUUGCAAUUGUGUUUGGAUUGUCACAAUUUGUCACAUGUGCAAAACGCAAUUGAAAAUAUAAUUAGCAAUUCCUUUUGAAAAUUGUCCUUCCGUAGACAGGCUCUAUAACGGAGUACACUGCUCUCAGGUGUAGAUCUUUGCUUCAGAGCUUAAGUGUUUGACAAUAGUUCACCCAAAAAUGAAAAUUGUCACUAAUUAUUCACCCUGGUCUGAAAGCUCUCGAAUAUCAACGAAAAUAUCUUAACUUGUGUUCUGAAGAUGAACGAAGGGCUUACGGGUUUGUAACGACAUGAAGUUGAGUAAUAAAUGACAGAAUUUUCAUUUUUGGGUGAACUAUAUGUUGAACUACCCUAAGCAGUGCACAUCUACCUACGUAGGAGUCUUUAUAUACUUGAUAUAAAUUUAAGGACAUCUUUAAAUGAUUUUACAUUUAAAUUUAAAGAAUGUUAAUUGUCAAUGUCAUUUCACUGUGUAUUUAAAUAGCUAAAAAUCUCAAAAUGUAAUAGUUAAAAAGCUAGACACAGGUCAUUCAGAAAUAAUUUUCUUAUUUAUUGCAACUGUAUUUCUGUGAUUUUUAUUUAUUUAUUUUGCAUUUGCUGGAAACAUAAAAAGGGAAAAUUCCAUGUUGUUUGUCAUUGGUAAAUAUUUUUGAAUGUCAGAUGGCAUUAAAAAUAUGUUUAACAGUCUAAAUAACCUGUAUUCUUCAUUAUUUAUUAGUCCAUGAUUGCUUUGUUAAGCAAAAGUGAAAUGAGAAUAACCCAGCAAGAAUAACCCAGAAUC